GACUGGGUAUUAGAUGGAGAAGAGGGCUUGACAGAUGUUAUAUAAAGCUAUCCCACUGUGUUAAUCGCCAUUCAGCUGACUCCAACCACAAAACUACCUUCUCAGGGUUUUACGGAAUUCCCAGCCCUAAGAAGAAAAAUGUGCUCCCGUCAGGAACAAGGAUGCUGUGGUACUCCACUCAAGCCUUCAUGCCACAGUGGCGGAAAUUCCUGUCACAGUGGCAGAAGUUCCUGUUACUGUGGUGGGAGUUCCUGUCAUGGAUCAGGAACUUCCUGUCGCUGGGGUGGGAGUUGCUGUCAUGGGUCAGAAACUUUCUGCCACUGCCAUGAGAGUUCCUGCCACAGUGGGCAAUCUUCCUGUUGCAGGCCCAGGGUCGAGUUCUGUCACAAUGUGAGGCCACUCCCUCAGAUCCAAGUGCCUCUCUCCCCACCUGCUGUCAUUUACCCCCCUUGUACCCACCAGCAGGUGAAGCAACCUUGCCAAUUCCUACCUCAGAAGUGAAGGCAAGAAGGACAGAUUGUUCUCAUCUUGAAAAUAAUGCAUUUCAGGAUGCCAACAAGGCUCAGUUCUAUACCUUGCAACUCCGGUGUCUCUGACAUUGCCCUGAUCUGUUACCUCGAGGUUUGCCAGAGGCGUUCUCCAAUCAACCCUUUGUUCUCCAAGGCUGCCGCUUAGAAAUACCAUCUGGGGUCUCCUCUCCAUAGCUGCUGAUCUGAUGUUCUCCAAAUUUUUUCUUUGGCUGAAACCUAAAUCAUUAAAAUGAGAAUUCACAAGAA